rnacentral:rRNA from 1 species
CUUUACUGUAGCCUGGUAUUGGGUUCGGGCUUUGACUGCGCAGGAUAGGUGGGAGACUGAGAAGUGUGCCUUGUGGGGCACACGGAGUCAACGGUGAGAUACCACUCUGUCAGAGCUAGAAUUCUAACCUUCACCCGUAAUCCGGGGAAGGAACCGUAUCAGGUGGGCAGUUUGACUGGGGCGGUCGCCUCCUAAAAGGUAACGGAGGCGCGCAAAGGUGUUCUCAGGCUGGUUGGAAAUCAGCCGUAGAGUGUAAAGGCAGAAGAACGCUUGACUGUGAGAGUGACAACUCAAGCAGGGUGGAAAUACGGUCUUAGUGAUCCGACGGUGCCGCAUGGAAGGGCCGUCGCUCAACGGAUAAAAGUUA